GCCGAAGUGGUGGAACUGGUAGACGCGCAUGGUUCAGGACCAUGUGGGCUUUGCCCGUGGGAGUUCGAGUCUCCCCUUCGGCA
rnacentral:tRNA from 1 species